GGGCGAUUAGCUCAGCUGGUUAGAGCGCCGUCUUCACACGGCGGAGGUCACUGGUUCGAAUCCGGUAUCGCCCACCA
rnacentral:tRNA from 2 species